GGGUGAUUAGCUCAGCUGGGAGAGGUAGAGCAGUUGACUUUUAAUCAAUUGGUCGCAGGUUCGAAUCCUGCACGACCCACCA
rnacentral:tRNA from 1 species